rnacentral:rRNA from 1 species
UGGGGAAUUUUGGACAAUGGGCGAAAGCCUGAUCCAGCAAUGCCGCGUGUGUGAAGAAGGCCUUCGGGUUGUAAAGCACUUUUGUCCGGAAAGAAAUCCUUGGCUCUAAUACAGUCGGGGGAUGACGGUACCGGAAGAAUAAGCACCGGCUAACUACGUGCCAGCAGCCGCGGUAAUACGUAGGGUGCAAGCGUUAAUCGGAAUUACUGGGCGUAAAGCGUGCGCAGGCGGUUUGCUAAGACCGAUGUGAAAUCCCCGGGCUCAACCUGGGAACUGCAUUGGUGACUGGCAGGCUAGAGUAUGGCAGAGGGGGGUAGAAUUCCACGUGUAGCAGUGAAAUGCGUAGAGAUGUGGAGGAAUACCGAUGGCGAAGGCAGCCCCUGGCCAAUACUGACGCUCAUGCACGAAAGCGUGGGGAGCAAACAGGAUUAGAUACCCUGGUAGUCCACGCCCUAAACGAUGUCAACUAGUUGUUGGGGAUUCAUUUCCUUAGUAACGUAGCUAACGCGUGAAGUUGACCGCCUGGGGAGUACGGUCGCAAGAUUAAAACUCAAAUGAAUUGACGGGGUCAUAGCUGUUUCCU